rnacentral:rRNA from 1 species
UGGGGAAUUUUGGACAAUGGGCGAAAGCCUGAUCCAGCAAUGCCGCGUGUGUGAAGAAGGCCUUCGGGUUGUAAAGCACUUUUGUCCGGAAAGAAAUCCUUGGCUCUAAUACAGUCGGGGGAUGACGGUACCGGAAGAAUAAGCACCGGCUAACUACGUGCCAGCAGCCGCGGUAAUACGUAGGGUGCAAGCGUUAAUCGGAAUUACUGGGCGUAAAGCGUGCGCAGGCGGUUUGCUAAGACCGAUGUGAAAUCCCCGGGCUCAACCUGGGAACUGCAUUGGUGACUGGCAGGCUAGAGUAUGGCAGAGGGGGGUAGAAUUCCACGUGUAGCAGUGAAAUGCGUAGAGAUGUGGAGGAAUACCGAUGGCGAAGGCAGCCCCCUGGGCCAAUACUGACGCUCAUGCACGAAAGCGUGGGGAGCAAACAGGAUUAGAUACCCUGGUAGUCCAGCGCCCUAAAACGAUGUCAACUAGGUUGUUGGGGAUUCAAUUUCCUUAGUACGUAGCUAACGCGUGAAGUUGACCG